rnacentral:rRNA from 1 species
UACAUGUGGGGCAAGCGUUGUUCGGAAUUACUGGGCAUAAAGGGGGCGUAGGCGGUUCGUUAAGUCACUGGUGAAAGUUUUCGGCCCAACCGGAAAAUUGCCUGUGAUACUGGCGAACUUGAGUGCGUGAGGGGUAGGGGGAACGAGCAGUGUAGCGGUGAAAUGCGUAGAUAUUGCUCGGAAGGCCGGAGCCGAAGGGGCCCUACUGGUGCGCAACUGACGCUGAUGCACGAAAGCGUGGGGAGCAAACAGG